rnacentral:tRNA from 1 species
GGUUAUAGCUCAAUGGUAGAGCGCUUGCCUCACACGCUUGAAUUACUGGGUUUGAUCCUCAGCACCA